ACCGCAGGCGGCGGGGUUUCCGGUUCUGAUCUUUUCCUUUGUGAGAAAAAGGGGCUUCAGAGCGACAACGUUAAUAUUUACACAACAAAUCGUGUCUUGUGGUUUUUUUUGCAUUUUGUUUACGUCCGAUGUAUCAUUGUUUAAACAGAAACUCCGCGUGCACUGAGGCAGCAGUGUGUGAGUGGAUCAUGCCGAGCACAGCGGCUGUGUGUUGUGGAGUCAAAAUGGCGUCUGCUUGCCCACUCAACGGUCGUUUAAUCCAUCUGUGAUUAGCACUGGCAGCUACAUUCAACAACCAGUCACCAGCUGCUAGUGUUUCGUUUUCCUCCCCCACACAGAUAGCUACUUGUCGGGGCACAUUUUAGCAUCAUGUCGGACUCGGAGGAGGACAGCCAAGACCGACAGCUGAAAAUUGUAGUGAUUGGAGACGGUGCGUGUGGGAAGACAUCACUCGCCACCAGGUUUGCGCAGGAGGCCUUUGGGAAGCAGUACAAACAAACCAUCGGCCUGGAUUUCUUUCUGAAGAGAAUAAGCCUUCCAGGCAAUUUGAACGUGACCCUGCAGGUGUGGGAUAUUGGAGGACAAACGUUAGGAGGGAAAAUGCUGGAUAAAUAUGUAUACGGAGCUCAUGGCGUUCUCCUGGUGUACGACAUCACCAACUACCAGAGCUUUGAGAAUCUGGAGGAUUGGUUCAGUAUGGUGAAGAAGGCCAAUGAGGAAUGUGAUAUUCAGCCUGUUGUCUCCCUGAUAGGAAACAAAAUUGACAUGGAGCACAUGAGGACAGUGAAGGCUGACAAACACCAGCGCUUCUGCCAAGAGAACAGCCUCAUCAGUCAGUUCGUAUCGGCCAAGACAGGGGACUCGGUGUACCUUUGUUUUCAGAGAGUGGCUGCUGAGAUUCUCGGUAUAAAGCUCAACAAAGCAGAGAUAGAGCAGUCCCAGCGAGUGGUGAAGGCGGACAUUGUAAACUACAGUCAGGACACCGUGGCCAGGACAGUCAACCCCCCUCGCAGCUCCAUAGUGCCAGACCCGCAGCGUUGAGGGAGUAGGCAGGACUGAGUCAACCCCUCUGAUGAGCUCCAGUCCCCCUGGUCACCACACUGGCUCCUAUUCUCUGUUAGAGCGCAGCGGGCCAGCCAGCAGCAACAGGAGUGACAGGCAAAGCAAGGCAGGGCCUGCGCUAGGCCAGAGCUGGCAUCCAGUUAUUCAGAGACCCGAGACUGCAGCUUGUGUAGGCAGACGGGACUGUCCUGUUGCAGCAGCAUCUUUUGACACAAGAGAACAGCACAGAGUUUGUGUCCGAUCCAAUAGCAGCAACCCACCAGCUGUGAAAAGUGUUGCCCCGUCCAGGUCUGGCUGCGCUGCUGCUGCUGACUGACAGCAGGCUUAAUAUUUGAUGAGGGACUCGGGGAUGAACCAAAGGUUGGUCUCUCAGAGUGUGUGAUGCAGGGAACACCCAAGCCCUCCGCUAUUGUUAUCCCCCCCCCCCCACCGACCUGCCCUGCUAUUCAUAGACCGGAGGAUAGGGUUCUGCAGUCCCACUCAGGGUUUCACCGACAAGAGAAACACAAUGAAGUCAGAAUAACAAAGGUUGCUGUGGCCUUCUCAUCACUAUCAUGUGAGCUGCUCCAUAACGGGAUUGCCAGAAUGAUGGACAGUUUAAAUGGAGGAGAGGGCUUGUCUAAGUUUUCUGAGGAUAUUACACUCUUUAUGCAGCUGCAAACUACAUUGAUGUAAUGCACACUGCUCUCCAAAAGCAAUCUUAAAAUUAUCUGCAAGAUUUUUUUUUGCAUAUAUUCAGUUAAAUUGUGCAGUUUGAUGGAUUUUAACUGUAUUGUAUGUGCAUACAACUGGGCACAUUUUACUGUCUGAUGAAUGGAGAUGAUUUCAUCACUAUAUUACACUAUAGAAGAGGUCAGGUGAGUUGCGGACACGAGGACCAAUGUGACCAGUUGUAAAAGACUGCAGCAUUUCCUGUAAAUGUUAUGUAUAAACUAAAAUGAACAAAGCAGCAGUUUUGUCCAGAAGUCUACAGUAAACCUGUCAAGUUUAUUUUCAUGAAUGCCAUCCUGCUACAUAAAGUUUUAAUUUUUCUGACUGUUACACUACAUUUUCUCUUACUUUUCCAUUAAAAGGUUGAAAGAGUUUAUUACCUCA